AAAGUCGUAACAAGGUUUCCGUAGGUGAACCUGCGGAAGGAUCAUUAUUGUAUUCACCUGCGAUGCUGUUGCUGGCUCCUUGUGGGCAUGUGCACGCUUCGUAAGUUAAUUUCAACCACCUGUGAACCUUUUGUAGUCUUGGGUGACGCUAUUAAUCAAAGGAAACUUUGGAGUUGAAUGUUGCAGGCUUGUAAAAAGGUCGGCUUCCUUCUACAGCAGAGCCCGGGUACUAUGCUUUACACACCCCCCAUUGUAUGUUAUAGAAUGUAAUUCAAGGGCUUCAAUGCCUUUAAAUUUAAUACAACUUUCAGCAACGGAUCUCUUGGCUCUC
rnacentral:misc_RNA from 1 species